GGGUUGUGAGGUUAAGCGACUAAGCGUACACGGUGGAUGCCCUGGCAGUCAGAGGCGAUGAAGGACGUGCUAAUCUGCGAUAAGCGUCGGUAAGGUGAUAUGAACCGUUAUAACCGGCGAUUUCCGAAUGGGGAAACCCAGUGUGAUUCGUCACACUAUCAUUAACUGAAUCCAUAGGUUAAUGAGGCGAACCGGGGGAACUGAAACAUCUAAGUACCCCGAGGAAAAGAAAUCAACCGAGAUUCCCCCAGUAGCGGCGAGCGAACGGGGAGCAGCCCAGAGCCUGAAUCAGUGUGUGUGUUAGUGGAAGCGUCUGGAAAGGCGCGCGAUACAGGGUGACAGCCCCGUACACAAAAAUGCACAUGCUGUGAGCUCGAUGAGUAGGGCGGGACACGUGGUAUCCUGUCUGAAUAUGGGGGGACCAUCCUCCAAGGCUAAAUACUCCUGACUGACCGAUAGUGAACCAGUACCGUGAGGGAAAGGCGAAAAGAACCCCGGCGAGGGGAGUGAAAAAGAACCUGAAACCGUGUACGUACAAGCAGUGGGAGCACGCUUAGGCGUGUGACUGCGUACCUUUUGUAUAAUGGGUCAGCGACUUAUAUUCUGUAGCAAGGUUAACCGAAUAGGGGAGCCGAAGGGAAACCGAGUCUUAACUGGGCGUUAAGUUGCAGGGUAUAGACCCGAAACCCGGUGAUCUAGCCAUGGGCAGGUUGAAGGUUGGGUAACACUAACUGGAGGACCGAACCGACUAAUGUUGAAAAAUUAGCGGAUGACUUGUGGCUGGGGGUGAAAGGCCAAUCAAACCGGGAGAUAGCUGGUUCUCCCCGAAAGCUAUUUAGGUAGCGCCUCGUGAAUUCAUCUCCGGGGGUAGAGCACUGUUUCGGCAAGGGGGUCAUCCCGACUUACCAACCCGAUGCAAACUGCGAAUACCGGAGAAUGUUAUCACGGGAGACACACGGCGGGUGCUAACGUCCGUCGUGAAGAGGGAAACAACCCAGACCGCCAGCUAAGGUCCCAAAGUCAUGGUUAAGUGGGAAACGAUGUGGGAAGGCCCAGACAGCCAGGAUGUUGGCUUAGAAGCAGCCAUCAUUUAAAGAAAGCGUAAUAGCUCACUGGUCGAGUCGGCCUGCGCGGAAGAUGUAACGGGGCUAAACCAUGCACCGAAGCUGCGGC
rnacentral:rRNA from 1 species